ACCCAGACUCCUACGGGAGGCAGCAGUGGGGAAUAUUGCACAAUGGGGGAAACCCUGAUGCAGCGACGCCGCGUGAAGGAAGAAGUAUUUCGGUAUGUAAACUUCUAUCAGCAGGGAAGAAAAUGACGGUACCUGACUAAGAAGCCCCGGCUAACUACGUGCCAGCAGCCGCGGUAAUACGUAGGGGGCAAGCGUUAUCCGGAUUUACUGGGUGUAAAGGGAGCGUAGGCGGCGAUGCAAGUCAGAAGUGAAAGCCCGGGGCUCAACUCCGGGACUGCUUUUGAAACUGCAUGGCUGGAGUGCGGGAGGGGCAGGCGGAAUUCCUGGUGUAGCGGUGAAAUGCGUAGAUAUCAGGAGGAACACCGGCGGCGAAGGCGGCCUGCUGGACCGCGACUGACGUUGAGGCUCGAAAGCGUGGGGAGCGAACAGGAUUAGAUACCCGAGUA
rnacentral:rRNA from 1 species